rnacentral:lncRNA from 1 species
GUGGACUUAUAGAACUAUGUAAAUAUCUCUGAGAUUUGGGAUAUUGAGGACUCCUUUUUCUGGUCCCUGCUUACAGCUUGACACAACAUCAGCUCUAGUAGGCAGGUAUGUUUCCAUUUACAUGAUCUGGACAAUGAAUGUGAUAUAAGCUGCCUUGUAUUUACUGCACAAUAAAAG